AGCUUUGCACAGUGGCAAUAUCGUAGCCAAUGAGGUUUAUCUGAGGCACGAUUAUUGCUAACUGAAAAGAAAAAAAAAAAGGUCUGAGUCACACUACAAGAAAAAGUCACAGAAAAAAUAGGAACAUUAUCCCCAAC